AUACGGAGGGUGCAAGCGUUACUCGGAAUCACUAGGCGUAAAGCGCGCGCAGGCGGGCUGAUAAGUUGGAUGUGAAAGCCUACGGCUCAACCGUAGAACUGCAUCCAAAACCGUCAGUCUAGAGUGUGGGAGAGGAAGAUGGAAUUAGUUGUGUAGGGGUAAAAUCUGUAGAGAUAACUAGGAAUACCAAAAGCGAAGGCAAUCUUCUGGAACACUACUGACGCUGAGGCGCGAAGGCGUGGGGAGCAAACAGGAUUAGAAACCCCAGUAGUCC
rnacentral:rRNA from 1 species